rnacentral:lncRNA from 1 species
GUGUCAACCAGAUGCUCCGCAGGGCGUAGCUUUAUACGACCGCAGAGGUUGAACCCUGAACGGUUAGGGCAAGUAUGGACACAACAUUCAAGCUGGAUUCAGCUCUAAAUUUGGAUUGUGAUUAAAUAGUUGACACAGCAUAGGUUUCUGACACAGAAUGAAUGUGUUCUAAUGAACUUAAAAUUUUUGUUUCUCUUAGAGCAAUUCACUAUGCUGUUGAAUAUUAAUCCUCUCAAAAAAAUGUUUGAAGAAAUUUUCUUUUUAUU